UAGUCAUAUGCUUGUCUCAAAGAUUAAGCCAUGCAUGUCUAAGUAUAAACACCUUUAUACUGUGAAACUGCGAAUGGCUCAUUAAAUCAGUUAUAGUUUAUUUGAUAGUACCUUACUACUUGGAUAACCGUAGUAAUUCUAGAGCUAAUACAUGCGAAAAGACCCGACUUUUGCGGAAGGGUUGCAUUUAUUAGAUACAAAACCAAUGCGGGGCAACCCGGUUGUUGGUGAUUCAUAAUAACUUUUGCGGAUCGCAUGGCCUUGCGCCGGCGACGAAUCAUUCAAAUUUCUGCCCUAUCAACUUUCGAUGGUAAGGUAUUGGCCUACCAUGGUUACCACGGGUAACGGGGAAUUAGGGUUCGGUUCCGGAGAGGGAGCCUGAGAAAUGGCUACCACAUCCAAGGAAGGCAGCAGGCGCGCAAAUUACCCAAUCCUAAUACAGGGAGGUAGUGACAAUAAAUAACAAUGCAGGGCCCAUUGGGCUUUGUAAUUGGAAUGAGUACAAUUUAAAUCUCUUAACGAGAACCCAUU
rnacentral:rRNA from 1 species